rnacentral:lncRNA from 1 species
UAGAUAGAUAGAAACAUAGAAUGUGACGGCAGAUAAGAACCAUUCGGCCCAUCUAGUCUGCCCAAUUUUCUAAAUACCUUCAUUAGUCCCUAGUCUUAUCUUAUAGUUAGGAUAGCCUUAUGCCUAUCCCACGCAUGCUUAAACUCCUUUACUGUGUUAACCUCUACCACUUCAGCUGGAAGGCUAUUCCAUGCAUCCACUACCCUCUCAGUAAAGUAAUACUUCCUGAUAUUAUUUUUAAACCUUUGCCCCUCUGAUUUAAGACUAUGUCCUCUUGUUGUG